rnacentral:tRNA from 2 species
ACAUUGGUGGUUCAGUGGUAGAAUUCUUGCCUUCUAUGCAGGAGACCCGGGUUCGAUUCCUGGCCAAUGCA